GCCCCAGUAGCUCAAACGGAUAGAGCGUCGGACUUCUAAUCCGAGGGUUGCAGAUUCGAGUUCUGCCUGGGGCG
rnacentral:tRNA from 1 species